rnacentral:rRNA from 1 species
UAAGAACCUCACCUUUCUUGAUAUGAAGGUUGAGGUUAUGAUAUAAUGUGCCCAGUGGGCCACUUUUGGUAAGCAGAACUGGCGCUGUGGGAUGAACCAAACGUAAUGUUACGGUGCCAAAAUUAACAACUCAUACAGAUACCAUGAAAGGCGUUGGUUGCUUAAAACAGCAGGACGGUGGACAUGGAAGUCGUAAUCCGCUAAGGAGUGUGUAACAACUCACCUGCCGAAGCACCUAGCCCUUAAAAUGGAUGGCGCUUAAGUUGUAUACCUAUACAUUACCGCUAAAGUAAAUGAUUUAUAUUCAAUUUUGUAUUGGAUUUAAUAAAUUUUGAAACUUUAGUGAGUAGGAGGGUAUAAUGGUGUGCAUAGAAGUGUUUGGCGUAGGCCUGCAUGGAGCCGCCAUUAGUACAGAUCUUGGUGGUAGUAGCAAAUAAUCGAAUGAGACCUUGGAGGACUGAAGUGGAGAAGGGUUUCGUGUGAACAGUGGUUGAUCACGAGUUAGUCGGUCCUAAGUUUAAUGCGAAAGCUGAAUAUUUUCAAAGUUUAUAUAAAUAUAUCAAUAAUUUUAUUUAUUAAUGCACUUUGAUUAAUAUAUUUAAACGUUUCGUGUGAACAGUGGUUGAUCACGAGUUAGUCGGUCCUAAGUUUAAUGCGAAAGCUGAAUAUUUUCAAAGUUUAUAUAAAUAUAUCAAUAAUUUUAUUUAUUAAUGCACUUUGAUUAAUAUAUUUAAACGAAAGGGAAUACGGUUCCAAUUCCGUAACCUGUUGAGUAUCCGUUUGUUAUUAAAAAUGGGCCUUGUGCUCAUCCUGGUAACAGGAACGACCAUAAAGAAGCCGUCGAGAGAUAUUGGAAGAGUUUUCUUUUCUGUUUUAUAAUCGUACUACCAUGGAAGUCUUUCGAAGAGAGAUAUGGUAGAUGGAUUAGAAGAGCAUGACAUUUACUGUUGUGUCGAUAUUAUCUCCUCGGACCUUGAAAAUUUAUGGUGGGGUCACGCAAAUCUCUUAACAGGCCGUACCGAUAUCCGCAGCUGGUCUCCAAGGUGAAGAGUCUCUAGUCGAUAGAAUAAUGUAGGUAAGGGAAGUCGGCAAAUUAUUUAAGGAGUUUUUAACAAGAGGUGUCAGAAAAGUUACCACAGGGGUAACUGGCUUGUGGCGGCCAAGCGUUCAUAGCGACGUCGCUUUUUGAUCCUUCGAUGUCGGCUCUCCCUAUCAUUGUGAAGCAAAAUUCACCAAGCGUUGGAUUGUUCACCCAUGCAAGGGAACGUGAGCUGGGUUUAGACCGUCGUGAGACAGGUUAGUUUUACCCUACUAAUGACAAUAUGUUAUUGCGACAGCAUUCCUGCGUAGUACGAGAGGAACCGCAGGUACGGACCAAUGGUACAAUACUUGUUCGAGCGAACAGUGGUAUGAUACUACGUCCGUUGGAUUAUGCCUGAACGCCUCUAAGGUCGUAUCCGCGCUGGACUGCAAUGAUAAAUAUGGGGCAAUUGCAUUGUAUGGCUUCUAAAUUAUUUUUUAAGUUUUAUAACUCAAAUUAUAAAACGACAACAAAUAAUAUUUAUGUGAUGCCAAUGUUAUAUGUAAUAUAGCUAAUGUAAGAGGAUUAAAUAUCACUUGCAUGUUAUGCUUUUUCAAUUACACAUAUUUAAAACAUUAUUUUUAAUACAAUGACAAUGCCUAGAAUCAAUUGUAAACGACUUUGGUAACGGGCAAGGUGUUGUAAG